rnacentral:rRNA from 1 species
AAAUCCGGAAAAUCAAGGCUGAGGCGUGAUGACGAGGCACUACGGUGCUGAAGCAACAAAUGCCCUGCUUCCAGGAAAAGCCUCUAAGCAUCAGGUAACAUCAAAUCGUACCCCAAACCGACACAGGUGGUCAGGUAGAGAAUACCAAGGCGCUUGAGAGAACUCGGGUGAAGGAACUAGGCAAAAUGGUGCCGUAACUUCGGGAGAAGGCACGCUGAUAUGUAGGUGAAGCGACUUGCUCGUGGAGCUGAAAUCAGUCGAAGAUACCAGCUGGCUGCAACUGUUUAUUAAAAACACAGCACUGUGCAAACACGAAAGUGGACGUAUACGGUGUGACGCCUGCCCGGUGCCGGAAGGUUAAUUGAUGGGGUCAGCGCAAGCGAAGCUCUUGAUCGAAGCCCCGGUAAACGGCGGCCGUAACUAUAACGGUCCUAAGGUAGCGAAAUUCCUUGUCGGGUAAGUUCCGACCUGCACGAAUGGCGUAAUGAUGGCCAGGCUGUCUCCACCCGAGACUCAGUGAAAUUGAACUCGCUGUGAAGAUGCAGUGUACCCGCGGCAAGACGGAAAGACCCCGUGAACCUUUACUAUAGCUUGACACUGAACAUUGAGCCUUGAUGUGUAGGAUAGGUGGGAGGCUUUGAAGUGUGGACGCCAGUCUGCAUGGAGCCGACCUUGAAAUACCACCCUUUAAUGUUUGAUGUUCUAACGUGGACCCGUGAUCCGGGUUGCGGACAGUGUCUGGUGGGUAGUUUGACUGGGGCGGUCUCCUCCUAAAGAGUAACGGAGGAGCACGAAGGUUGGCUAAUCCUGGUCGGACAUCAGGAGGUUAGUGCAAUGGCAUAAGCCAGCUUGACUGCGAGCGUGACGGCGCGAGCAGGUGCGAAAGCAGGUCAUAGUGAUCCGGUGGUUCUGAAUGGAAGGGCCAUCGCUCAACGGAUAAAAGGUACUCCGGGGAUAACAGGCUGAUACCGCCCAAGAGUUCAUAUCGACGGCGGUGUUUGGCACCUCGAUGUCGGCUCAUCACAUCCUGGGGCUGAAGUAGGUCCCAAGGGUAUGGCUGUUCGCCAUUUAAAGUGGUACGCGAGCUGGGUUUAGAACGUCGUGAGACAGUUCGGUCCCUAUCUGCCGUGGGCGCUGGAGAACUGAGGGGGGCUGCUCCUAGUACGAGAGGACCGGAGUGGACGCAUCACUGGUGUUCGGGUUGUCAUGCCAAUGGCACUGCCCGGUAGCUAAAUGCGGAAGAGAUAAGUGCUGAAAGCAUCUAAGCACGAAACUUGCCCCGAGAUGAGUUCUCCCUGACUCCUUGAGAGUCCUGAAGGAACGUUGAAGACGACGACGUUGAUAGGCCGGGUGUGUAAGCGCAGCGAUGCGUUGAGCUAACCGGUACUAAUGAACCGUGAGGCUUAACCUUACAACGCCGAAGGUGUUU